UGGGCAACCUGCCCCUCUCUCUGGGAUAACCCCGGGAAACCGGAGCUAAUACCGGAUACUCCGGCUGGAUCGCAUGGUCCGGCCGGGAAAGGUCCGCCGGAGAGGGAUGGGCCCGCGGCCUAUCAGCUUGUUGGUGGGUCAUGGCUCACCGAGGCGACGACGGGUAGCCGGCCUGAGAGGGCGACCGGCCACACUGGGACUGAGACACGGCCCAGACUCCUACGGGAGCA
rnacentral:rRNA from 1 species